AAACAUCGCCUCUUGUUAAAAUAUAAGAGGUCCAGCCUGCCCAGUGACUUUGUUCAACGGCCGCGGUAUCCUAACCGUGCGAAGGUAGCGUAAUCACUUGUCCUUUAAAUAAGGACUAGUAUGAACGGCACCACGAGGGUUAUACUGUCUCCUUUUUCCAAUCGGUUAACCUAAUCUCCCCGUGAAGAAGCGGGAAUAAAACUAUAAGACGAGAAGACCCUAUGGAGCUUUAAACUAAGUAACAAUUGCUUAUUUACCCUCACAUUCCAGAAUGCUAAUACUUAUUCUAGCCACAUGUUUACUAGUUUUAGGUUGGGGUGACCGCGGAGCAUAAAACAACCUCCAUAUUGAAUGGGAUUUAAUCCCUGAGUUGAGGGCUACAACCCCAAACACCCACAAAUUGACAUUAAUUGACCCAAUAUUUUGACCAACGAACCAAGUUACCCUAGGGAUAACAGCGCAAUCCGCUUAAAGAGCCCCUAUCGACAAGCGGGUUUACGACCUCGAUGUUGGAUCAGGGUGUCCCAGUGGUGCAGCCGCUACUAAAGGUUCGUUUGUUCAACGAUUAAAACCCUACGUGAUCUGA
rnacentral:rRNA from 1 species